GAUGAAGAACGCAGCGAAAUGCGAUAAGUAAUGUGAAUUGCAGAAUUCAGUGAAUCAUCGAAUCUUUGAACGCACCUUGCGCUCCUUGGUAUUCCGAGGAGCAUGCCUGUUUGAGUGUCAUUAAUAUAUCAACCUUCUCUUUUUUGAGUUGUUUGGAUGUGGGGGUUUGCUGGCCUCUUAAAUGAUUCAGCUCCCCUGAAAUGCAUUAGCAGAACAACCUGUUCAUUAGCGUGAUAAUUAUCUAUGCUAUUGAAUGUGAGGGCAGUUCAGCUUUCUAACCGUCCUUGGACAAUUCAUCAUUAAUGUGACCUCAAAUCAGGUAGGACUACCCGCUGAACUUAAGCAUAUCAAUAACGGAGGA
rnacentral:misc_RNA from 1 species